rnacentral:lncRNA from 1 species
UAUCGGAGUUGUUGCUUCUAUUGUUAUCUUUUUCCAUUUUUUAUGGAGAAAAGAGGCGUAAAAACCUCCUUAGAAACAAAGUUUCCAUGACAUCGUUAUACAUAAGCCCCAAAAUUCCUAGGCAAAAUCAUUUACUAGAGAUAAUCUGUAUAUGAAACUGUUUGUAUGAAUUGUGUGACAUCCAUAAGUUUUUUUUUUUCACUUAUAUAAUCCUACAUAUAUAGCUAGUUGUAGCCCUCCAA